rnacentral:rRNA from 1 species
GACGAACGCUGGCGGCGUGCUUAACACAUGCAAGUCGAACGGAAAGGCCCUGCUUUUGUUGGGUGCUCGAGUGGCGAACGGGUGAGUAACACGUGAGUAACCUGCCCUUGACUUUGGGAUAAAUUCAGGAAACAGGGGCUAAUACCGGAUAGGAGCUCCUGCUUUAUGGUGGGGGUUGGAAAGAUUCGUCGGUUGGGGAUGGACACGCGGUUCAUCAGCUUGUUGGCUGGGUAGUGGAUUACCAAGGCUACGACGAGUAGCCGGACUGGGAGGGUGACCGGCCACAUUGUGAUGGGGGAAGGAGCCGGAGUGCUACGGGAGGAAGAGGUGGGGAAUAGAGCAAGAUAGGCGGAGGGAGGGUAGAAGAACGCCGGGUGCGGGAGGACUGCCUUCGGGUAGGAAAGCGCUUGCGCCUGGAACGGUGCGUGAGUGACGGUAAUGGGUAAGGAAGCACCGGCUAACUACGUG